GACGAACCGUGCGAACGUUAUUCGGAAUCACUGGGCUUAAAGCGCGUGUAGGCGGACGGGGACGUCGGUGACUGAAAGCCCCCGGCUCAACCGGGGAAGCGGCGCCGAAACGCCCCGUCUGGAGGGACGUAGGGGGACCUGGAACUUCCGGUGGAGCGGUGAAAUGCGUUGAGAUCGGAAGGAACGCCCGUGGCGAAAGCGAGGUCCUGGACGUCUGCUGACGCUGAGACGCGAAAGCUAGGGGAGCGAACGGG
rnacentral:rRNA from 1 species